rnacentral:rRNA from 1 species
UACGGGAGGCAGCAGUGGGGAAUAUUGCACAAUGGGCGCAAGCCUGAUGCAGCCAUGCCGCGUGUAUGAAGAAGGCCUUCGGGUUGUAAAGUACUUUCAGUCGUGAGGAAGGUGUUAAGGUUAAUAACCUUAGCAGUUGACGUUAGCGACAGAAGAAGCACCGGCUAACUCCGUGCCAGCAGCCGCGGUAAUACGGAGGGUGCGAGCGUUAAUCGGAAUUACUGGGCGUAAAGGGCACGCAGGCGGUUAAUUAAGUUGGAUGUGAAAUCCCCGGGCUUAACCUGGGAAUGGCAUUCAAGACUGGUUAGCUAGAGUCUUGUAGAGGGGGUAGAAUUCCAUGUGUAGCGGUGAAAUGCGUAGAGAUGUGGAGGAAUACCGGUGGCGAAGGCGGCCCCUGGGACAAAGACUGACGCUCAUGUGCGAAAGCGUGGGGAGCGAAACAGGAUUAGAUA